AAAGGGAACAAAAUCUAAGAAAGGAGAUAAAUUAAAGAUGUUGGUAGAAAAAGUAAUGAAAUUUAAAAUACUACAGAAUUAGGGAAAACACAGAUUAAGGUGUAGGACAGGAAAAGAUGAACAAGAGUAAAACUAAGGAAAGUUAAAUGAGUGAAAAGAGAGAGAUGAACAUACCAGACAUAGGGGCAGCUGAUUAUCGACUGUCUUGCACCUCGUGUAGUCAUUUGCCUCUAUACAAAGUGAGUGUAAAAAGAUUUAGAAUUUGCCACUCAUACUGGUAUAGUGUUUUAAAUCCACUUUUCACUCAUUUUUCACUGCUGUAAAUUACUACACAAGAUACAAGGCAGUGGAGAAUCACACUUGGCAAGUUUCGUUCUGUUUUACAACGUUUUUAUCUGAUUAAAAUAAUAUUUACUUACAUACAUUUCUGGUAUGUUGAGUCUGGUUGGUAACAUCAUGAGUUACAUUCUAGCAUUUUAUUGUUCAAUCUUUUAAACUUAAAACUCCUCUUGGUUUUUAUUUUGUCACUAUAGUAGACAUUGUAUGUCACUUUGAAAGAAAAUAUGUUUUUGUGAUAUUUUGGAGUGCAUUUUCUUGUUCCUCGUAUUAAGUCUACAGAAUGUACCUGUUUUAUUUGCCCACUUGCCUGCUGCUGGAGGGACAUGCACUGUUCAUCACUGUUUGGCAUCUAUGAAUGCUAAUUCUUGGCAACUGGAGGAGGAACAGGUCUGUACUUGACCAACUCUUUGACUCAUGGUUUACAUUCUUUGUGACGUGAAUUGCUUUUCCUCAACAGCUUUUGUUCGAUUUCUGUGUUGGUAUGACUGUUUGAGUCCUGUGCUGCAAGCCUGUUGUACGCAAUGCGUGAGGCUGCUGCUCACAAGUAUUUUUUUCUGGUCUGCUGGAGAUCUCUUAGAGUAUGUCUUUACUACCAACGUUAAAGUGCUGCCAUGGCAGCUGUGUAGUAAAAAAACCCACCCCCGUGAUGGGAGUAGCUCCCAGUGCUCUGAGCGCUAUAGCACUGUCUACACUGCCACUUUACAGCGCUGAAACUUGCAUCGCUCAGGGUGUGUUUUUUCACACCCCUAAGCGAGAAAGUUUCAGUACUGUAAAGUGGCACUGCAGACAAGGCCUUAGUUUCUGCAGCAUUUAAGCUGACAUUUAAAGGGGGUGGUGGUGGAGGGGAAGGCAUUUCUAGCUCAUGUGGUUGUGAAUGUGACCCAGAUUGUGUGAUUGAUUUUUGCAGAUGCGUAGUUGCAAUUAGCUAAGUUAUGUCCUUACUCAGAAGAUCUGAUCUGUAUAUAUUCAGAAUACUAUUUGAUUCUUUUUCUUACAAAAAUAAAAUAUUUCACACUACCCAGCCAGGGUAGGAGAGUGCAGUAUGGCUCUGACAUCAUCAGUGGAAUUGUUAACACAGUCUUCAUUAUGGGUGACAAUACAUGAACUAGAAAGAGCAGAGCAUUUACUUCUGAUUUUGAUAAGUUUUCACGUAAAGUUACAAAAAGCCCUCUUUUUUUUUUUUUUUAGUUGUAGACUGUACAAAUUUAAUAUGGAAGUUUACUGUGAGAAAGUAAGCAUGGUGCUUCAUAGUGACAAUUUUCCAGAGUAUAAGCAAAAUGUAAGGUUGAGAUACUGUGCUGUGUCUCCAAGAGGUGCAGCACAGACCUCCCAGUCUAAGGAGAGGGAGUCUGGGACCGUGCUGACAUCGCUUUAAGCCACCUUCAUGCCCUCCUGAUCUGGGGCUGCUCUGGGAUUGGAGAAGACCCCAGUGUAAUUUAGAUGGUCUUGGGGGCCUGUCUAAGUGAUAGCAGUCGCAGCACUGCCUAGCCAACGUCAGCAGCAAUUUGCGCGGCAGCCCUAUCUCUGUUUUGCCACUCUCAUCCCUACCAUCAUCUUGAGUCCUUUUUUAGGACUUACUUUGGUUAGAUGUUGCAUUGGUCAUGAGUACUAGGUUGGUGCCAUUGACUUUGGUUUUGAGAAAAUGUGCACUCGUCCUUACCCCACAAAUUGACCUAGAUUUUGCAUGCAGUGUUGUUUUAGCCAUCUUGGUCCCAGGAUGUCAGAGAGAGAAGAUGGGUGAGGAAACAUCUUUCACUGGGACAACUUCUGUUGGUGAGAGAAACAGCGAACAGAUCAUGAGAAAUGGGGAGCACUCCUUAAGAUCUCACACUGACACCUGCAGAGGAAGAGUAGCAUUGUGUUCAAGCAUAACAGCACUUUUCCCAUGGCUCCUAUUGUGACUGAAUUUGAGUAAGAUUAUGUAACCAUAGUCAAUUUCACUCUGCAGCAGUGCUGCAGGUAAAGUACAAAUAGGCAAAAGGGUAGCACUAGUCUUUCUCUGUAGAUUUUGUUACUUGAAAAUUUGCAAUUACAGAAAUACUAUUUAAUGAUAUGACAUAUGGAGUGUUAUUAGAAACCUUAUCUAUGUGUUUUAAAUUCUGAUAAAUCUUCAUAUGCCUUGAAAUAUUGUGUUUAAUUUCCUCUCUUGGAGAAGAGAAUGAGUUUUAAUAAGCAAGGCAAGCUAUAGCAGCUAUAAAAUUUUUCUAAUAAAAAUGCAAUUUCCAUAGCAUUGAGAAAAUUGGAUUUGUGGUGAUUUUUUUUUCUCUAGCCAAUAUUUUGUGAAAUGAUUUUGGAAAAAGACAGCCAUAUGUUUGCUUAAGCUUUCAAUAGAGACACUCUGUUUCCACUGUUUUGUAGGACUGUGAAAUGCUUCACUGCUUGGGUCCAUCUGCCCAACAUACUGCAAUAUUUGCUUUUCUGUAGCUUACAUAACAUUAGACUCUGUUCCUCCUGAUAGAGAGUAAAUAGCUGUGUGUAGUCUUGCAUGCCUGUUUUCACAUAAUUGUGUAAACCAAAAACUGUGUUUGAGAUGUGCAGAGAUACUUAGCAUUCCUUAUUAGCUAAUGCGUAAACAUAAUUAAAAUAGUGGUUUUAAAGGUCUGACUGAAAUAUAUAAAAGGCAGAAAAUGCAAAGUCCAGGCUAAAACUCACUACUUCUGUGUCAGACAGUUGUGGCUGGGUAUUUCAGCUCAUAUGGUAUGUGAAAUCACCCAGUGCUCUGUGAGCCCCUGACAGGAGCCAGCUGUUUCAAAUGCAACAUCUAGACUCAAGGGAAUAAGCUAAAGUUAGAGUUUGGGGAAUAAGCUAAAGUCAGAGUGUGAGUCUGUAAGUCCUGGCUCUAGAUUUCUGUCAUUUGUUUAGUUUCCUUUUUAGUUAGUGUUCCUUUCUUUGUUAGUUUCAGGGGGAAGAGAGAGAGCAGGGGACUUUGUGAAGCCUUUAAUAUUUACCAGAUACCUUUGAAAAGCCUUCUCAUGACCCAUUAAGGUCAUGCAGAUCUGCCUAUGGGUGUUUCCAGGUCUGUACCCUUUCAUUUUAAAAAGCAAUUGAAAGGCCUGGAUUAUCUUAAAGCAAUGGCAAAAAGCAACAUCUGCAGGAAGAUUAUAAAUGUUAAUAAUUAAAUAGACUAAGUUUAUACCUACUAGAGAACGUUUUAAUACUUUUUGCUGAAGUGUUCUGGGUUAGCUUAAGAUGGCUUCUGUGAAGAUGGAAAAUUUUGGUUGCAGCUGUAGAUAGAAAAAGGAAAUGGUUGGGUGUAAUGAUAUUUAACAAGAAUGUAACUUCCUAUUACUCUGAGUUUUGCAGGCCCAUUGUGUUUCCUGUCAAUAACCUCCUCCCCCAUUCUUUCAAGUGAGGAGCUAGUUAUUGUGUGCAAGAUGAAUAUUAAAAUGCACUUAUGCAUGAAAGUGAAAUACUUGAAGUAGGGCUGCUGAAUUGCCAAAAAUGGGCCGUUCUACACAGGGGAAAGUUUUAAAUAAACUCUGCUGAUGAAAGACUUUUGGUCAACAUUCCCCCAACUUUUGGUCAACCUUCCCCCAAUCACUAAUAAAAUUAUGUAUAAACUUAUUGUAAUGACCAGAUGUUUCAACUCUGUCACCUUCUCAUCUCUAUUUGAUGCCAGUUUUCUUUUUCUUUUCUUUUCUUUUUUUUUUAACCUUCACCUUUUUUUCUGUUAACUUGUGUUUAUUGUAGUGUUCAAGAGAAUUUAACAAAGGCAGCCAGGAUAAAAUCAAUGUUUAUUUUGUCGUAAUUCUUUGGCUCUUUUUACACUAGAGUUCAAAGCAUGUUAGACAAAACUGGGUUUAAAAACCACUCUUGUCUGAAACACAGCUUUCUUAGGCAGUGUAAAAAUGGCUGAAUAAUGUUGAAAUGUGUUAUAUCGUGGUUUAGAAAAAUGCACGUAGACCAGCAUUAAGUACAACGUAGUCCGUGACUUGAUCAAUGAUUCUGCUUCCUUAAGAAUAUAUUUUCCUAUCUAUUUCACAAAGAUGUUGUGCAGUUUGGUUAAUUUUUGUAAAGCACUUCUUUGUGAACUUUGGAUGAAGAGGUACUAUUGCAGUUCGAAGUAUUAUUAAGAUCCAUAAGCAGGAUGUCUUGCGUAGAAUUUUAGCCUAAGAAAAGUGAAUGCUGACAUUGGAGAAGUGUGUUUUUAUGUACAGUAAGUAUUUCACUUUUUUAUAAUUGGUUUUAAGAAACAGGUUAAUUAGUACCACAUUCUCGAGAACUAGGCCAGCAUUUUCAAAGCUCAUGGCCUAAAAUUAGGAACCUAAAUAAACAGACUGGUUUACAGAGCACUUGGUAGCUCCCAGUGAAGCCAAUGGGAGUUAGGAGUGCUAAGCAUUUUUCAAAAUCAGACCAAGUUAUUUAUAUUUUUGUUCGUAUAGCAUGUACCCAGGUUUGAAUAUUUUGAUGUGAGAUACUUCGUAUAUGAAUAACUCUUCAGAAUUAACUUUUCGAAAGUAACGAAUGUUUUGUGGGAGGAACAAGUUCAGUCACUUUAAGUGGCCUGAGAUUUCAGAGGGCUGAGCUACCUGUAUUGCCAACACCAAGCAUUUAAAAUUCAUUAAUCAAGCCACUCUCUCCUCAAACCAGCCAGUGGUUUAAAAACAAUGAUUUAGAAAAUAAACAAAAAAACUUGAAGAUC